rnacentral:rRNA from 1 species
AUACGGAGGAUGCGAGCGUUAUCCGGAUUUAUUGGGUUUAAAGGGAGCGUAGGUGGGAUAUUAAGUCAGCUGUGAAAGUUUGGGGCUCAACCUUAAAAUUGCAGUUGAUACUGGUUUCCUUGAGUACGGUACAGGUGGGCGGAAUUCGUGGUGUCGCGGUGAAAUGCUUAGAUAUCACGAAGAACUCCGAUCGCGAAGGCAGCUCACCGGGCCGGAACUGACACUGAUGCUCGAAAGUGCGGGUAUCAAACAGGAUUAGAUACCCUGGUAGUCCGCACAGUAAACGAUGAAUACUCGCUGUUUGCGAUACACGGUAAGCGGCCAAGCGAAAGCGUUAAGUAUUCCACCUGGGGAGUACGCCGGCAACGGUGAAACUCAAAUGAAUUGGCGGGG